AUUUGAGGGUAAGUCCCAACACCUGAGAUUGAAUCCCAGUAUCUGAGGAUUAACCCCAAUGUCUGAGGGUGAAUCCCAAUAUGUGAGAGUUAAUCCCAGUGUCUAAGUGUGAAUCCCAAUAGCUGAGGAUUAAUCCCAGUAGCUGAGAGUUAAUCCCAAUAUCUGAGGGUGAAUCCCAAUAUUUGGGAGUUAAUCCUAAUACCUGACGUUGAAUCCCAACAUCUGAAGUAUAAUCCCAAUAGUUGAGGCUGAAUCCUAAUAGUUGAGGAUGUGUUCUCAUAUCUGAGGGUGAAUCCCAGUAUCUGAGGCUGAAUCCCAAUAUCUGGGAGUUGAUCCUAAUACCUGAUGGUGAACCCCAAUAGUUGAGGAUUAAUCCCAAUAUCUGAAAUUUUAUCCCAGUAUCUGAGGGUGAAUCCCAACAUCUGAUGGAGGAUCCCAAUAGCUGAGGACAAGUCCCUUUAUCUGAGGCUGAAUCCCAGUAUCUGAGGGCAGAUCCCAAUGGUUGAGGAUGAAUCCCUUCACCUGUGGGUAAAUCCCAAUAGCUGAGGGUGAAUAUUUGAGGUUGAAUCCCAACACCUGAGGUUGAAUCCCAAUAGCUGAGUGUGAAUCUGGAAGUUAAUCCUAGUACCUGCUGGUGAACCCCAAUAGUUGAGGAUUAAUCCCAAUAGCUAAGGACAAGUCCCUGUAUCUGAGGCUGAAUCCCAGUG
rnacentral:lncRNA from 1 species